GCAGAAGAAGCACCGGCUAACUCCGUGCCAGCAGCCGCGGUAAUACGGAGGGUGCAAGCGUUAAUCGGAAUUACUGGGCGUAAAGCGCACGCAGGCGGU
rnacentral:rRNA from 1 species